rnacentral:rRNA from 1 species
UACGGGGGAGCAAGCGUUGUUCGGAUUUACUGGCGUAAAGGGCGCGUAGGCGGCCACCGCAAGUCGACUGUGAAAUCUCCGGGCUUAACCCGGAAAGGUCAGCCGAUACUGCGGGCUAGAGUGCAGAAGGGGCAACUGGAAUUCUACGGUGUAGCGGUGAAAUGCGUAGAUAUCGAGAGGAACACCUGCGGCGAAGGCGGGUUGCUGGGCUGACACUGACGCUGAGGCGCGAAAGCUAGGGGAGCGAACGGG